UACGUAGGCAGCGAGCGUUGUUCGGAGUUACUGGGCGUAAAGGGUGCGCAGGCGGUGGAGCAAGUCUGUUGUGAAAUCUCCCGGCUUAACCGGGAGGGUGCGGCGGAAACUGUUCUGCUGGAGUGAGGGAGAGGCAAGCGGAAUUCCUGGUGUAGCGGUGGAAUGCGCAGAUAUCAGGAGGAACACCGGUGGCGAAGGCGGGUCUCUGGGCAGUAACUGACGCUGAGGAGCGAAAGCGUGGGGAGCGAACAGG
rnacentral:rRNA from 1 species